UAUUUUUGAAGUGGGAUUGUGUAUGUGAUCAAAGGAUUUACAUGCAGCUCUCUGUGCUGCAUGUGCUGUAGUUCCUUCCUGCUCCAGGAGGGACACCUGGGGUUUCCCUGGAUAGGAACGAGGCCCAGAAGUCAAGCCAGUCUUCCUAAGUGAGGGACCUGCUCAGAAACUGCUCACUGAAGGACAGUAGGUCUUGCCUGUCGCUCUUGCUGUUAUGGCAGGAGGUGUUGCACUGGUGACCAAGCUAUGUCCAGGUUAUGCCUUUCUUCAAAUACUAAAGGCUGCAGGAACUCAUUUAUCGUUAAACUUGAAAUAGGCAUUGGUCUGAUGUGCAUCUUCAGUGAUACUACAACAUGCUCCUGGCAUAUUGGUAGGGUUCGAGUUGCGCUGUUUGGAAGAAGCAACGUCGUCUUCUCUCACAGCUACGACGCGGCACCGCUCUCAGCAUAUCCUGCUUUUUUCCCCCAUUUACCUGGGCGGCUUCUGCUGUUUCUGUUGCUGCUGCUGGGGCUGCUGCAGUUUCGCUGCCUGUGCUUCACCCUGGCAUGUCUGAGUCGGGAAUCACUCGUCUGCACGCUUCUAAAGAAGAGCAGCGAUGGAACUCUGACCACAUUUUUUUUUUCUGGAAGAGAAGGGUUGUGAUGUGGGGUGGGGGUUUUUUUUGGAAGGGUGGGGACAUUAAUCCAAAGUGAGG